GCACUGCACACCGAUCCGCCACGUCGUCUCUUGACUGCCGUCUACUGACAUGCUCAAAUUCGUCUCUUCUAUCGGUGACGCCGCGUACAAGGCGGCGUCCAAGACCGGCCUCGCCGCUGGCUCUGAGCAGCCUCCCUACCCGUGCGCCCUCCCUCUGCAGGUGAUCGAAGACUGCGAGGACACGGAAACCACGGAGCGCGUCCUGAACGAUACGUACGCGGCUGUUCAAGACCUUCUGAGCGAUGACCUUCCGCUGCUGCACAGCACCAUCUCAGACGUGCAGGCCCACAAGCCCUUUAAGCUGGUAGACUUCACCGAUCGCGAGGGCGACAUCCGUCUUUUUACUCGUCCCCACGUCGGCUCGUACAACUUUGCCCGCGUCACGCUCACGCUCGACAGCGUGUCACCGGCGAAGGUGUUGACCUUCAUGCACGCCCAAAGCCUGGAGGAGCGCAACCGCUACUCGAACAACCUUUGCCAGUAUGACGUCAUCGCCCGCAACCCCGAACUGCCGGCGCAGUACAUCGGCAACGACAACGACCACCUCGAGGAACUCUGCCGCAUGGGCAUCCGCGACUGGCAUGUGGAGUACAACCGGUACAGCGCCCCGCCUCCUGUGGCGGCCCGAGAUUUCAUCUACCUUGUCGAGAAGCGCUAUGUUCCGGAGCAGCGGUGUUACUACAUCUACGGCACGAGCGUUGACUACCGCGAUACGGCCGGCAUCACCAUCGAGAAGGACAACUGCGUGCGCGGCGCCGUCGUGUUCGGCUGGCGCUUCCAACAUGUCGGCCGCAAGACGUACUGCACGUACGUGUCCUGCAUGAGCCCGAACGGCUGGGCGCCGACCUUCAUUGUGGGCUGGAUGAAGACCGCGAUCGCAAAGGAGCUUCAAAACGCGCGGCGAGUUCUGUACCAGGAUGUGCCGUCCUGCCACACCGCCGGCGCGUCCUCCGAGUACGUCAGGGGUGCCCUGGCGACGUACGACGCGCCCAUCACAUCUUGUCGGCAGAACAAGCCGAAUAGAAAUCAUUCGUCGUCCAAGUCGUCCGCGCAGAAGCUCGGCGAUGCCAUGAAGCAUGAGGAGCGGCGGCUGCUGGAGGACGAGAAACCCAUUGUGUUUGAGUGAGCGAAGGAGUGAAAGGCAGCUCACAGAUGGGGAAAAGGCAGGCGAGGAAAGGGAAGAAACGGCGCAAGCUAAGAAAGGAAAGGGCAGGCGGCGGCGUUCCUGAUUAGGGGACGGGUGAGGGGGAGGGAGAAGGGGCGAGCACCGUGCAGGCUGAAUGCACCAAAACGGAUCAAUGGAGUGCCGCACAAGGAGCACGAGGUAUCGAAGCGCGCACGCAGCAGACAUGGAAGGUGGGAGUGGCAUGUCAAGCGAAGGUGUACCUCAGUGUCUCUGUGUGUGCGUUUGAGCGACUGCGUGACUCAGCAGCGCUCCAUCUGUGGCCGCAUGAGUGCUUCUCGUUCUAGCACUUUUCGUUCCUGUUGUUGUCGUUGUUUUUUUCUGGGGAGGGGGGGCUUCUACCGCGUCUCCCCCCUUCCAUGCUAUCCCCCACCGACAUCCCACUACAACCGCCUCCACGUCAAGACUCGUCCACCUGAGUCGGUGCCCUUGAUGUGUUUGUGCGCGGUCAUCCGCGGCAGCUCUUCCCGUGAUGGCCCGAGUACGCAACGCGUCCCUCAGCAGAUAGAAACAUGCCGUCACUCGCGUUGCGGGUUCGGCGCCACCCGGUGAAUGGCGAGUUAUCGCGGUUGUCUCGACAGCCUUAACGCCCCGCAUAGAUAUGUGUAGAUCUGUGUAUGUGUAACCCGUAUUUCCCUUGAGCAUCUUCCUUCACGUGCACGCGGUCUCGUCUCCCCACCCCCACCCCUCCCAACAUUUCUUUUUUCCUUUGUUUGUCACUCAUGAUUUCGAUGUUCAUCUUCUGGCGUCUAUACGCAUACAUACAUAUAUAUAUAUAUCCAUGUAUAUGUAUGUAGUGUUCCCUCUCUCUCGGCGGUCUGCAAGCGCGGGUUUGCCCGCUUGCCUGCUCGCCUGAAUUUUAUGUGGUGCGUGAAUGUAUGCGUGUGUGGAAGAAUGCGGGCGCCUCCCUGAGAAAUCCGUGUCUCUCGUUAUGCUUCUCUCUCCUUCCCUUCUCCCUUUUUUUUUGUCUUGUCCCGUCUCCGAUAUCCGUACGAUCCUCUCCUCUCUCGCUCUCGCUCUCUCUCUUGGUCCUGUCGCCCAUGGCACGCUCGUCUCUCCGUCCGUGCGCUCUGUGCAAUCAUGCAGGUGUGCGUAAUUCAUGCGUCUACGCAUGUGUAUAUCGUGUAUAU
rnacentral:misc_RNA from 1 species